AUUGAACGCUGGCGGUAUGCUUUACACAUGCAAGUCGAACGGGCUUAGGGGCUUGCUCCUAAGUUAGUGGCGAACGGGUGAGUAAUAUAUCGGAACAUGUCCGGAAGUGGGGGAUAACGUAGCGAAAGUUACGCUAAUACCGCAUAUGCCCUGAGGGGGAAAGGGGGGGAUCGCAAGACCUCUCGCUUUCGGAGUGGCCGAUACCGGAUUAGCUAGUAGGUGAGGUAAAGGCUCACCUAGGCGACGAUCCGUAGCUGGUCUGAGGGGACGACCAGCCACACUGGAACUGAGACACGGUCCAGACUCCUACGGGAGGCAGCAGUGGGGAAUUUUGGACAAUGGGCGCAAGCCUGAUCCAGCCAUACCGCGUGAGUGAAGAAGGCCUUCGGGUUGUAAAGCUCUUUCAGCUGGAAAAAAAUCGUACUUAUUAAUACUAAGUAUGGAUGAUGGUACCAGCAGAAGAAGCACCGGCUAACUACGUGCCAGCAGCCGCGGUAAUACGUAGGGUGCGAGCGUUAAUCGGAAUUACUGGGCGUAAAGCGUGCGCAGGCGGUUUGAUAAGCCAGAUGUGAAAUCCCCGGGCUUAACCUGGGAACUGCAUUUGGAACUGUCAGACUAGAGUAUAGCAGAGGGGGGUAGAAUUCCACGUGUAGCAGUGAAAUGCGUAGAGAUGUGGAGGAAUACCAAUGGCGAAGGCAGCCCCCUGGGUUAAUACUGACGCUCAUGCACGAAAGCGUGGGGAGCAAACAGGAUUAGAUACCCUGGUAG
rnacentral:rRNA from 1 species